CCGGUCUGGUAAAUCACCUUCUACCACAUGCAACUUUGUGGUCAUCAAUGAUGCUCGGGGAUCUUGGACGUCAUGGUACUGGUCCUGCUUACCAGCAGCUCAGUAAACUCUAUAGUGACAUUCAGCAAUCCAAGAACCAGAAUUUUACACAAGACAACAGAACCCAAGGAAUCAUGGAGAAAAGCCAGUGGGAUUUGAAAAAAAUCCGUAUCCAGAGAAGGAGACUGACAAGGCUUGAUGACUUUGUGGAAAUUUAUCAAAAAAUGCAUGAUGCCCUCCUGCUUGAAUAUGCAGACAUGAAAAAAUCAAGACAAAAGUCUUUUCGCGUGGAAAUGGAGAAAUGGAAAGACAAACGCAUUAAACGGAAAGGUGUGUACGUGUCACCGUUAGUGACCGAACUGCCACUGAAGAAAAAGAAAACUGAGAUAAAAGGGAAGACCACUGUUCAAACCUUUAAACAGGAACAGCACAAACAACAUGAUGCUCGUCAAAACCAGGAUGAGAGCCAGGAACAAAUAGCCGUUUGCCAAAAAAUAGCAACAUACAUGGCUAAUAAAGUGUCGGUCACAGUAUGGAAAGGAGAUUUAUGUGCCUUCAAAGUGGAUGCAAUUGUGAAUGCAGCUAAUGAAAGUCUCUCUCACAUGGGUGGACUUGCAAAGGCACUGUCUGCUACUGGAGGACGUACUAUCCAAGCAGAGAGUGAUGUCUUCAUUGCCAAAAAUGGCAAAUUAAAGGCUGGACAAGUUGCAGUUACCACAGCAGGCAAACUACCUUGCAUGAAGCUGAUUCAUUUGCAGUGAGCUCUGGAAUAUUCAACUUUCCAGUCUCAAUUUGUGCUGAUGUUGUAGUCACCACAAUCAAAAAGUACAUUAAACAUAAGAACCCCACAAGUCCUCCAUUUGAAAUACACCUGGUAAACAACGAUGAUCCAACCGUGAAGGAAAUGGAAAGGGCCUUCAAAGAGAUCCUUUUGGAGCCACUCUCUGAUGUCAGGAGGACAGUGAG